GCGCAAUGCGUUAGGGCAUCUCAGUGCAGAACCAAAACUGCCAAAGUGAGCGGCGCACCAUAGAAGCACAGGGCCGUUUGUGUGGCACAGCGUCAGGCAAGCGUGUGUACUGGCACCGCCCAGGUCAAAAGGGGCACGUCACCAUAAGGCAAGCAAGCCAAUUACGUACUUAUGGGGCCUGUGUCUGCAAUGCGUUCUGGUAAACAAAUUUGGGAGGAGGGUGUCCGCAACGGCCUGCGGGCAUCCUUUU
rnacentral:ncRNA from 1 species